AACGAACGCUGGCGGCGUGGAUUAGGCAUGCAAGUCGAGCGAGAAAGGGGGGGGUAACUCCCCUGAGUAAAGCGGCAAACUGGUGAGUAACAGGUGGGUAACGUGCCCGGAAAUGGGGAAUAACUCCUGGAAACAGGGGCUAAUACCGCAUGUGGCUCAGGAGUCCCCGGACUCUGGAGUUAAAGGUUCCUUAAGCAAUUGAGGAGUCGUUUCCGGAUCGGCCCGCCCCUGAUUAGCUAGUUGGUAGGGUAAAAGCCUACCAAGGCGACGAUCAGUAGCUGGCCUGAGAGGGUGGUCAGCCACAAUGGGACUGAGAUACGGCCCAUACUCCUACGGGGGGCAGCAGUCUAGAGGCUUCCGCAAUGGGGGAAACCCUGACGGAGCGACGCCGCGUGUGGGAUGAAGUCUUUCGGGAUGUAAACCAUUUUCGCUGGGAAAGAAGGUCUCAGUCGUGAACUGAGAAUUGACGGUACCCGGUAAAGAAGCCCCGGCUAACUCCGUGCCAGCAGCCGCGGUAACUGUAGUCGU
rnacentral:rRNA from 1 species